AGAUGUGAGGGCGAUCUGACUGCGACAUCUGUCACCCCAUUGAUCUCCAGGGUUGACUCAGCUGAUCUGGCUGGCUAGGCGGGUGUCUCCUUCCUCCCUCAGGGCUCCAUGCGCAUCCCUCCUGAAGCUGUGCGCUUUCCCCAUCAGAACAGGAUGGCCUUCCCCGAAUAGGGAUGGACCAGUCUUUUUCGGUCGAGGGUAUGCGAGUAGCUUCGCUCCCCUGGUAGAACCUCCAAAAGAAACUUAUAAGGGCAGAACAAUCAAUAAUAAUAGAAAUAAUAAUGAUAAUAAAAAUAAAACAAUAAAAAUAU
rnacentral:snRNA from 1 species